ACCAGUGAAAUCCUAUAAGGUUGGCAUGUCUUCUCUUAUUCUUCUUAAAUAUAUGGACACACAGUUUGCAUAUAUUUUAGUCCUUGAAAUCAUCAUAUGUCACUGUUCCAUAUUUAUGGAUUUGAUUCCGAGAGAUCCUUUGUUCAAUGUAUGAGAAAAAAGUAGGACUGUUUGUUCUUGAACUUAUAUGAGCUAAAACAAUUAAUCAUGUCAAUAAGCUGGAAGACAGGACCAUGUGGUAAUUGAUAUGUCAUUGUCCUUCACUGAUGCUCAACCCAAAUGGCUCUUCACCACAAAUCGAGGAGAUUUUUUGGCUUGCCCUUCUCUUAUAUAAGCACAUUUUGAGAAGUAGCCACAACCACUACACCUCUCCCAAAAAACUAGAGAACUAGUCAAAGAUUUUCCUUUCCUUUCAGAAUUUUUAGUAAUUGUUCUCUUCAUCAUUUGCUCAUCUUAAUUAAAAGAUCAUGGCUAUCCAUGUUCCUCGUAUAAUCAAGAAGUCUUCAACUUCUUUGGAUGUUCCCAAGCGCCAUUUUGUUGUUUAUGUCGGGGAGCAGCAGAAAAGAGAUUUGUGAUACCGAUAUCAUACUUGAGCCAGCCUUCAUUUCAAGACUUGCUAAGUCUAGCAGAGGAAGAAUUUGGCUUCAAUCAUCCAAUGGGUGGUAUCACAAUUCCCUGCCGAGAGGACAUCUUCAUUGACUUCACUUCUCAAUUUAGGAUUUAAGUAUAUAUUUGAGAUCAAUUUUCCUUUCUAGAUCUCACAACUUUGUAUACGAUAGUAGGAGAUUCAUUUUGUCCAGUUCGUUAAAUAGAAACUUAGCACCACAAAGAUUGGUGCUUUUUGACUAA